rnacentral:rRNA from 1 species
CCUACGGGGGGCAGCAGUGAGGAAUAUUGGUCAAUGGGCGCGAGCCUGAACCAGCCAAGUCGCGUGAAGGAUGACUGCCCUACGGGUUGUAAACUUCUUUUAUAAAGGAAUAAAGUGAGGCACGUGUGCCUUUUUGUAUGUACCUUAUGAAUAAGGAUCGGCUAACUCCGUGCCAGCAGCCGCGGUAAUACGGAGGAUUCAAGCGUUAUCCGGAUUUAUUGGGUUUAAAGGGUGCGUAGGCGGGUUGUUAAGUCAGUGGUGAAAGUGUGAGGCUCAACGUUGAAAUUGCAAUUGAUACUGGCAGUCUUGAGUACAGUUGAGGUAGGCGGAAUGCGUGGUGUAGCGGUGAAAUGCUUAGAGAUCACGAAGAACUCCGAUUGCGAAGGCAGCUUACUAAGCUGCCACUGACAUUGAUGCUCGAAAGUGUGGGUAGCAAACAGGAUUAGAUACCCGGGUAGUC